AUCAACUUUCGAUGGUAGGAUAGAGGCCUACCAUGGUGGUAACGGGUAACGGGGUGUUAGGGCACGACACCGGAGAGGGAGCCUGAGAAACGGCUACCACAUCCAAGGAUGGCAGCAGGCGCGCAAAUUACCCAAUCCCGAUGCGGGGAGGUAGUGACAAUAAAUAACAAUACGGGGCUCUUUUGGGUCUCGUAAUUGGAAUGAGUACAAUUUAAAUCUCUUAACGAGGAACAAUUGGAGGGCAAGUCUGGUGCCAGCAGCCGCGGUAAUUCCAGCUCCAAUAGUGUAUAUUAAAGUUGUUGCAGUUAAAAAGCUCGUAGUUGAAUUUCGGGGUCAGCAGGUUGGUCGUGCCACUGGUAUGCACUGGUUUCGCUGAUUCCUCCUUUCUGAAGAACUGUAAUGCCAUUAAUUUGAUGUUGCAGGGAAACAGGACUGUUACUUUGAAAAAAUUAGAGUGUUUAAAGCAGGCUAACGCUUGAAUACAUUAGCAUGGAAUAAUGAAAUAGGACGUUUGAUCCUAUUUUGUUGGUUUCUAGGAUUGACGUAAUGAUUAAUAGGGAUAGUUGGGGGCAUUAGUAUUCAAUUGUCAGAGGUGAAAUUCUUGGAUUUAUUGAAGACUAACUACUGCGAAAGCAUUUGCCAAGGAUGUUUUCAUUAAUCAAGAACGAAAGUUAGGGGAUCGAAGACGAUCAGAUACCAUCGUAGUCUUAACCAUAAACUAUGCCGACUAGGGAUCGGAUGAUGUUAAUUUUUUAAUGACUCAUUCGGCGCCUUACGGGAAACCAAAGUGUUUGGGUUC
rnacentral:rRNA from 1 species